rnacentral:misc_RNA from 1 species
CGAUGAGAAUGAGUUGCAACAAGCCCUCUCUUCUGGUUACCAGCGGUUUAACAUCAGGACUAUUAGAUUGCUGAUGUUUCUCUUUAAGAAUCCACGCGAUGCUCUGAGAAUCGGUUAGGUUGCAUGCUUUUGGGAUUUCUCCAUUUUCAUUACUUCUGAUAUGGGAUUGGAUAAUUUCUUGUUGCGAAUUUCAAAUGAGUGAUUUUUCGCUAAAUUUUUCCAAUUCAGGGCCAAAUGAAUUUGCUGCAUUAUGGAAUUGUCUUGGCGAAUGGCGUGCAACCUUUGAGAAAUAUGAUAAAGACAGGAGUGGGAA